CACGAUGCUUGGAAGGACAUUAGCGACGUGGACAAGAGGACAAUUCAGGACCGGAUGCUGGAUUGGUUUAACAUGGACUAUAACUACAAGAACGGCAUUCUGAGGUCCGUUGUUGAUAAGGAGGCAGCAAAGUGCUACAAGGACUGGAAAAGUUCCUUGCACCGCCAUUACAAACGCUACGGUAGAGAAAGUCUCCCGAAUAAUAUGACAAAUCAAGUUCAUUGGGAUCGUUGUUGCGAUAGGUUCUCCGGCGACAAAUUUCAAAAAAUAUCAUAGACAAAUAGAAGUAAUCGCAGCAACUAAAAGUAUCCAAGCCUACAUGGUCGGUUAUCGUACUCUCAGCAUCGCAAUAAGAAGGCCAGUACGGAGACCCAAGAGCCGAUGUCUGCUAUAGACAAUUGGGCGGACAUGCAUCGUUGCGGGGACUCUUGGGUUAAUACCCAUCGGAACAGACUUUCAACACUCUGGAGGAGGAGAGACAUAGAACACAGACUACUUCAAGCGCGACUAGACCCCCCC